GUAUCAAGUUAUAUUUUCUUUUGUAUAAUAAUUACAUUCGUUUAGUUAAGCAACUUGUUCAUAGUGAUAAUUGUAGAAAAGUGUAGAAAAAUGACACCUGCAUUAUAUCCUGGGAUGAAGAAACGUUAUUUUAUGUCGAUUUCUUUAGAUGACAAAGGAGGUGACCAAAUAGCAUAUAUUACAAAAUCUGAGGACAAUAAUAAGGAUCGUUUAGCAAGGUUAAAAUAAUUAUUUUACCACAUUAGGACAUUAACAUAUCCAUGUGUUUGACAUAACCUCACUUCUUAAAUCUCUUAAAUUAGUCGGUGGAGAAGUGGCUCGAGGAUGAUUGUCUGAAUAUAAGUCGUACAAAAUUGGAAUGAAACGGUGAACAAUAUACAGAUCUUUAGACAGGCUUAAAUAAUGUAUGUGUAGGAGCAACUUGAAGAUGAUGGAGAUUUAUCUUCUUAAUAUAAAACCUCUAAAAUUGGGAACAGUAUGUCAUAUAUGCAUGAACUUGAUGUACCCUAGCAAUUGAUGUAUAAUAAACUGGAGAUAGAAUGAAUUCAAUCAGGUUAAAAAAAAUGUAUGUGCAAAAGCGACUCGAAGACGAUUUAGAUUUGUCUCCUGAAUAUAAAACUUCCAAGAAGUACAUCAUAUAUGAAUAUCCUGUAUCCUCGCAUUUGAUGUAUCGAACUGGCGAUAGAAUGAAAUCAGUCAGUGUUAAAAAUGUAUGUGUAAAAGCGACUUUAAGAUGAUGGAGAUUUGUACACUGAACAUAAAACUUCCAAAAUUUGGGGCAGUAUGUCAUAUGUGCAUAAUCUGUAUCCUGGCAUUUGAUGCAAUGAACUGGCGAUAGAAUGAAAAAAUGAAAAAUAGGCAGGCUGUUUGAUGUAUAAGGAAGUGGCGAUAGAAUACUUAUGCAACACUUCACACUUCACGCCCCAAAAAUAGAAUUACGUUCAUUAGAUAUACAACAAUUUUCAUUAAAUAUACUGUUAUUAAUAUGUUAAGAUUGAAUAAUUUGUACAAAGUUUUCUAGUAUAGUUCAUGUUAAAAUUUUAUAAUUUUAAAACUACAAUUCUAAUUUGUAAUAUUUAAAUAUUGUAAAAUUUCUUAUUAUUCACGUAAAUAAAUGCUUAU